ACACCGGGCGGGUCUGUCCCGCACGGCUCCCGCGGGCCGCGCUCCCCGCGCUGCGGGCCCGCAGGCCGCGGCCUGGUGGGGCCCGGCCGCGCUCGCCCCUCCCCGGGCCCCAGCGAGCGGCGGUGGGAGGGCGGCGGGCUCGGCCCGCAGCGCAUCGUUCAAAAGAAACCAAGCGUCGAGAGACAACGAAAUGGAGGAAAAAUGGCCGAGCCCCGGCCGGCUGCGAAAGGCCGGUGGAGGACGCCAGGCCCCGCCGAGCUGCGGGGCGGCUGCUGCCCCGAUCCGCAGAGAGCCCGAGCCAUCGCUGCCAAGCACAUCCCUGCUCCUGGGGGAAAGCAAGAUGGGGCCGGAGGAUGGCUGCUUUCCCCGCAGUGCCCCUCCAUCUUACAGAUUUCGGAGCAGUCAGGGCUUCCCCUCGUAGUAAAGGAAUUUAAAUUUGCAUUGUGCUGAUGGGUAAAAUAUUUAAGCUCCAGAUGCCGGUUCUCCCCUCACUCCGUGUUACCUGUCCACCAUCAGCAGGCUCCCUGCAGAAAUCCUGGGUGCAGUGGUUGUGAGUGGAACCUGCUUGGUGCAGAGUGGGAAUUUCACCAAACCAAAACCCAUACACAAAAAUCAAGCCUGGUCUGUCCUAUUAAAAAAAAAAAAAAAUGCACAUACUGGAUUAGUAAGAGCAGAUGCAACUUGAAAACCAAGAGCUAAAUUGAUUUAUAGCCAUGGUUACUCGAAAUGCUCAGAGUUUAAUCUAUUCAUAGAAAUGCUCUAGAAAUCCCACAGGAUUCCAAUGGAAUAAAAAGGAGCAGUGCUCUUAGGCAGGCAUUAUUUAUACACCUUGCUCCUAAAGCAACAGCUUUCCCAUGCGCUUGGAAGAGUUGUGGGUGGCAGCACACAAUGCUAAAAAGAUGAAAUAUUGAACAGCUUUCUUAAAUUACCAUUUUCCUUACAUUUUACCUUUUAAACUGAUUGUUUUGUUUUACCUCACAGGCCCAAGUAACCUCGUGGUUAGCACUUUCUGAGCUAGAUGACAGAUCCUACCCAAAAUGGGCUCAGCAUGAAGAAUUUUCCCAUGGAAAAUACUCUUAACAGAGACAGUGAUUUAAAGAAAUUUCAUUUUUUAAUCCUUUUAGUGAACUCAUGAGAUGCUUCACUAUUUCACAGCCACGGAACUCAGUGAGAAGGACACUGAGGAUUUCUGGAGCCCAAGAGUUUCUGUGGAAGACAUCAGCACCUGCACAGCCAAAGGUUACCACUGGCACCAAUUUUGGGAGCAUUUACUCUGACGUUUUGGAUGUCAAUGAUGUGACAAAGAGCAGCCAACAGUGGAUGUGGUGGUUUAGCUGGAGAAAAAUUCAGGAUUCAAUCAAGAAAGAAAGGAAACAAUUCCUAAUGGAGAAUCAUGUUCCCUUUUGCCUCUCCUGUCCACGAUCCAGGUCUUGGACACAACAAGGGCAUUUCCUUCCUCAGCCAGCAAAGCUCCAGGAUCCAUCUGAUGAUGCCAUGGCUCUGCAGCGAUUCUUGGGACAGAGCUGCAAACUGGGAGAGACACCAACCGUGCCCAGCAAAGCACCAGGAAAUCGCCAACCAGGCGCUUUUUGCCUUUAGAUUUCACAUAUUUAGAAAGAGGAGGGGGGAACCCAGCCUGGCUCCUGCUAAGCAGCAGCAGCAGCAGCACACAAAGCAAUCGUUAUGCCAAGAUUUAGCUGUUAAAUCCCUCAAGAUCUGGUGCUCACAGAGCAUAAACAACCUUUGCCUCCCAGCCUGGCCGAGCUGUACCUCCAGGUUUUCCAGCACAGCCACACAGACCCUCCCAUACCCAUCCCCUCCCCAGCCCUUCGCUGAGGCUGCCGUGCCAACAAGAAAGCCAGUUGCCAUGGCAUUUUUUCCCCCUACAGACAGAUGUCCAUUAAAAACCAAGUCAGCCUCA